rnacentral:rRNA from 1 species
GCCCGCGGCCGAUUAGCUAGUUGGUGGGGUAAAGGCUCACCAAGGCAACGAUCGGUAGCCGGCCUGAGAGGGCACACGGCCACACUGGCACUGAAACACGGGCCAGACUCCUACGGGAGGCAGCAGUGGGGAAUCUUGCACAAUGGGGGCAACCCUGAUGCAGCGACGCCGCGUGAACGAUGAAGCCCUUCGGGGUGUAAAGUUCUUUCGACGGGAACGAUAAUGACGGUACCCGGAGAAGAAGCUGCGGCUAACUACGUGCCAGCAGCCGCGGUAAUACGUAGGCAGCGAGCGUUGUUCGGAGUUACUGGGCGUAAAGAGUGCGUAGGCGGUCAGCCAAGUUUGGUGUGAAAUCUCCCGGCUCAACUGGGAGGGUGCGCCGAAAACUGGUUGGCUAGAGUAUGGGAGAGGAAAGCGGAAUUCCUGGUGUAGCGGUGAAAUGCGUAGAUAUCAGGAGGAACACCUGUGGUGUAUACAGCUUUCUGGACCAAAACUGACGCUGAGGCACGAAAGCGUGCGUAGCAAACAGGAUUAUAUACCCUGGUAGUCCACGCCCUAAACGAUGCAUGCUUGGUGUGCGCCGUUCAGUCGGUCUGUGCCCGGAGCUAAACGCGUUAAGUCCGCCGCCUGGGGGGAGUACGGGUCGCAAGGCUGAAACUCAAA